rnacentral:rRNA from 1 species
GUAGGGGGCAAGCGUUGUCCGGAUUUAUUGGGCGUAAAGAGCGUGUAGGCGGCCAGAUAGGUCAGCUGUGAAAACUCGAGGCUCAACCUCGAGACGUCGGUUGAAACCAUCUGGCUAGAGUCCGGAAGAGGAGAGUGGAAUUCCCGGUGUAGGGGUGAAAUCCGUAGAUAUCGGGAGGAAUACCAGCGGCGAAGGCGGCCUUCUGGACGGUGACUGACGCUGAGACGCGAAAGCGUGGGGAGCAAACAGGAUUAGAUACCCUGGUAGUCCACGCCGUAAACGUUGAGUGCUAGGUGUCGCGGGUAUUGACCCCUGCGGUGCCGUCGUUAACGCAUUUAGCACUCCGCCUGGGGAGUACGGUCGCAAGGCUA